rnacentral:sRNA from 1 species
CAGCUGUAACUUGUUCAUUCCAAUCCCGGAUAUCAAAAUUAUACAACGUAAAAAGCAAUAUAGGUUAAGCAAAAAGUUGAAUCGUUUAUUUAUAUUGUUUUUGACAUAAAACAAAAACAAUUAUUUUUUAAAAUAUAUAACUCACCAAACAAUACCUGGCAAGCCCUAUCUUACGCUGAAAAAUGCAACAGCAACUGACUCAACAAUCAAAGAAACAGUCUGAUUUCCAAUGCAAACCCCAAAUCGAUGAGCGCAUACCCACAGUUGAAAACUGAAAACCCAAAUCUAAAGCCUAACACUCAAAAGCGAUCGAAUCCAAAAGAACUAUUCAUAAAUAUCACCGUAGAGGAUUGAAACCAAAACUCACUGUAUACUAAAAAUGUUCAUAGACUCAAUAAACAUUAUAUAUUUUGAUACUACCUUUAA